UGUUAAGGAAUAGAUUCUAUUAGCACCAGGCAUUCAGAUAGUUUGGUUCUCAAUAUAUUUCAAAUUUUAAUUUUGGAUGUAGAUAAAAAUAAAAAAUGACUUUUUUAAACUUGUAUCAUGCAUAAGAGCCCAACUAAGAAUUGAUACGUACACAGAAACACAAGAAAGAUCACUGAAGAUACUGCAUGACAUUUAGAGGUAGAACAAUAUUAUCCACUAGCAUUAGAAUGCUAUUUCAUCAUUAAGCCACUUAAACACCAAGGGAAGUGACUAGGAUAGACCAGUUCCAAUCCUCCAUUACUAGGCGCCCCUUGAAUUAGUAAGAAAAAUUAGCACAUGAAUCAUGGAUCAUGCAAUUGAAGGUAUUUUUUCAUAUAUUCAAAGGUGUUA
rnacentral:misc_RNA from 1 species